rnacentral:rRNA from 1 species
GACAGAAAAGCUAGCGCUCUGCAACUCUCAAAUGGUCGCCCACAGAAGCUAAGCAGGGCUGCGCCUGGUCAGUACCUUGAUGGGAGACCACAGGGGAAAGCUAGGUUGUUGCCGGUU